rnacentral:rRNA from 1 species
AUGCAAGCCUGCAGGCCUGUCAUAUGUUUAGAUGGAUGUCACCUGAAGAGCAAGUAUGGAGGUGUUAUGUUGUGUGCUGUUGGGAUGGAUCCCAAUGACUGCAUUUACCCUCUGGCAUUUGCAGUUGUGGAGGUAGAGAACACUGAUACAUGGAAAUGGUUUUUGUCAAACCUGAAGAGUGACUUGGGAAUACUCAAUACAGAGCCAUGGACUAUUAUGUCAGACAAGCAAAAGGGGUUGAUCAAGGGAGUGAAGCGGCACUUUCCUGAUUCAGAGCACAGACAUUGUGUCAGGCAUAUAUGGUAG